GAUUCGAACCCUGGUCAGCCAUGUGGGAGUCCAGCGUCCUUAAUCAUUAUGCCACCUGCCGGCCCCCAGAAAUACUUCUUAAUUCAAUAAAUACAAAACCUUCAGAGAUGAUAAGACCUUGCCAAGUGAAGAAGAGAGAAAGUGCCCUUCAAGAGAAGGCCCGGUGUGAACAAAGAUUGGAGCAGGUAGAAGCAGGAGUCCUGGACAGUGACCAGGAAUAUCUGCUUCGAAGUUAGCUUCUGGGCAUGCUUCUGCUGGAUUCCGAAACUUCUGGAAUGGAAAGUGAUCUUCUCAGAGCCUCCCCAUGGCCCCUGCAGAAGAAUUCCAGCUAAUUUGGAAGGAACAUGGGACUGGAGAAAUCACCGUUUUGCAACUCCUAGUGAAAUAAUUCAUCAAAGCAAGAAUUGUCAAUGAAUGAAACCAAGGAUGAUAGUUGGUGGAGAACUUUAUACUGGAGGAAUUAAGCUGCCACCAUCUGCCACCACUAGUAAAUCUUAGCAUCACUAACAGUAAUACAACCUGGGACAUGACGAAGUCUGAAGCACUCAGCAGCAACUACGAAGGAUUCUUACCAAAAAACAAAUGAACAAAAAAUAAACAUGAAUCUAAUGAAAGGUCUAAUAGUAACUUUCACUUAAUGGGAAAUACAAGAGAUGGAGGAGCAAAAUAAAUGGCACGUAGAGGAAGGAAUAUGGGACUUUCUAGAGAAAAGUCUGACCUCACUGCUUGAAUCACACAUGAUCCCUGACUUAUGAU